rnacentral:rRNA from 1 species
UACGUAGGUGGCGAGCGUUGUCCGGAUUUAUUGGGCGUAAAGGGCGCGCAGGCGGCCUGUUAAGUCUGGUGUGAAAGCUCCCGGCUCACCUGGGAGAGGGCGCUGGAGACUGGCAGGCUGGAGGGAGGCAGAGGCCGGUGGAAUUCCCGGUGUAGUGGUGAAAUGCGCAGAUAUCAGGAGGAACACCUGCGGCGAAGGCGGGUUGCUGGGCUGACACUGACGCUGAUGCGCGAAAGCCAGGGGAGCGAACGGG